rnacentral:lncRNA from 1 species
GCGUCGAAACAUUUCUGUUCAUGAACGUUGAGUCGACGGAAAUUACUGUCUAAUUUCCUCGCCCAUCUGCCACAUACGUGUGGACUCAAAGGUCUACCAAUGUUGCACAGAAAGUUAACAGGCUGUGUACGCCAAUUUCAUCUGUGCAGUGAGCAAGAACUAGCCAUUAAACUAUAUAUUUAAACGUUUUGUAAAUAAACUUUUGAUUACUACAGUUUUGUUCAAACUGCUGUCUUUUAAAAUAAUUAGACUUGAUUUGAAUUUUUUUAAAUAAUCUGUUAUAUUAGAUGUUGCGUUAUUGACUGUGAUUCAAUGUACACUCAGCCAUAUUCCUGUGGGAAAUAUCAGUCCUAUUGACUUUCUUGGCAUGAGCCAGAAGCUCUUAGUUUCUCUAAGGACUCUUAAGUAUAAAGACAAAAAAAAAAUCAAAAUGAAAUGCUAGUGAAAUAAGAAACCUAUUGUACAAAAUGUAUUUUUAAAAAUCUUAAGAUUCAUGUGAUUUACACUGCCUGUUAAUCUAGUCUCUCUGUGAAAUAACCACAGCAUAUUUGUUAAGAUGGAAACACCAAAUAUUUACGAUCUUUGUAUAGCACCUUGUUAUAAUAUGUGACUUCAAAUGGUAAACAUGUCUAUUGUGACCAUGUGAGCCCACAGAAGAAUAAGUUCCUGCUGUUAUGUAAAAUCCAGCUCUCAGAAUUCAGAUUCCCUGCAGCUGCUGUACCACCAAUAAACAAAAAUUAAUUGUGAAAAAAAUAAUUUUUAAGUUUAUGAUCACUGUGCAUUUUGUUAAUGAAUUCAGAGAAUUUUAUUUUUACCAGAAAUUCUCUCAGCCAGUAAAUACAACUGCUGAUUUCAACCAUACUAUCAUUUCUGUGGUUUCUCUAUUCUUGAUACAACUACCAAAAAAUUGGAAGCUUGGUGCAAAGUAUAUCCUAACAAAGAUACAAUCAAUGACUUUUCCUGCAUGCUGCCUGAGAUAAUAUUGUAAUUUGAGAUGUCUUAUCAAAAAAUUAUCUCAUAGCCCAAACUGUAACCGGCAAUAUUUCUUAUGUGUAUAACUGAUGGUAUGUCAAUACCUAAAGCAAUGUCUGUCGUACAUGUAUGUUAUAUGUACUGUUUAAUCAUGUUAAACUGUAAUCUGUGAGACUGUCAUUGCCUGAACUAGUCGACUGUGUAACAAAUCGUUGUGUUCUCUGUUUUCCUAACCUCACCGUGUUUCCUAACACUGAAAUAUAAAUGUUUGUAAAUU